ensembl:lncRNA
AUGUCCCUGGAUGAAACACUGGACCGUGAAGUACUGUUCUUACUUCAGGGACCUGAAUAUGCAGGAGAAAAGUUUAAGGCUGUCAUGCAAAACCUGCAAGAAGAAGCUUCUGCAGCAGAGGAGCUUAUCAAGACUUCUUUAGAACGGGUAGAAGAUCCUGAUGUGAACGUGCAGCAGGCCUGGGAGCGAAAACUUAUGGUAAGUAACAUUUCUCUAAUACUAUUUUCUGUCAGACUUGCCUGAAGUUUUCUGUAUGGUCCCAGUAUAUCAUACUGUUGCAUCCUAUAUGUGUUAUUAGAGGUCAUGGCAGUCCGUUUAUGGGUCAGAUAUGGCUGUAUAGGGAAAAGUAUGUUUUUUGUUCUGACUCUUAGUGAGUGGUGGGAGGACAGAGAAGAAAUAGCUUUUUACUCAACUGCUGGGCUUUUCCUGACUUGUCUUGUAUGACACACAUCUUUGAUGCUUGAAGGAAAGGGUAGAUGAAGCAAGUAGGUUUGAAGUCAGAUGACAACACAGUAGUAUGAGCUAUGAAGCUUUUCUGUCCAUUGUUUGAAACUUGUAUGUUUUUAAAACACCAGUUUUCUCUUUUCACUCUAUUUGACUACAAGGCAGAUGGUUCCUCCACCAGGAAGAGGAGGAAGGCAGGCUUUUCAACCAGAUUCUCUUUUAAAAAGCAAAAUGUUCAGCUAUUACUGGAUGUGCAUCAGAAAAGGUUUCUACAGAAAUAUAAAACUUAAUCAUAAAAUCAUAGAAUCAUGGAAUAGUUUGGGUUGGAAGGAACCUUAAAGCACAAUCAGUUCCUGCCAUGGACAGGGCUGCCACCCAUUGGCUCAGGUUGCCCAGGAUCCCAACCAGCCUGGCCUUGAAUGUCUCCAGGGAUGGGGCAUAAUGUAUACUUACUACUACUCUCAUUUUCUCUUAAGACUUGAGGGUAUAGAAUCAAAGUAACUGUGGCAAGAACAACUUCUCCCUUUGUUAGCAACUGUCUGCAGGUACUACUCAACCCUCUUGCUCUUGUUCUCUCCCUGACUUCUUUCUCCCCCAGUUUUCCACAUAACAGCAGUUUCUUGAUGGCCACCUUACUGGAUGUAAGUUUUUUUUCCUCUAAUCUGUUAAGAACUUUGUUACACACUAAUCCAUUGUACUGCAUAUUAAUGCUAUAUAUAAUCUUUUUAUUUCUUAAGUAGAUGCAAAACCUACUUGGGUAAUAACAGGUGACACCACAAAACAUACUGCUUUAAGCUGUUAGUUUUUAAGCAGAAAGAUACUCCUUUUUCUUUCCUCUAGUGUUGCAAAAUAUUAUAGCUGCCCCUCUCCAUCCUGUCCUGGGCAGGAGGAAACAACUAUUAGAGUCACCUAGUCUUCCUGCACUUCUUCAGGUUUUUGGUCUCGAAAAACUUCCUCCUUCAGUAUUUCUCAGCUGAAAGAUGCAUGUUGAUUUACCUUUCAUGACAUGGUUGUAUUCCCAUUAAACAUGUAAAGCUGAGAACUUUGUUUUGAGUAUUGACCUAUUCUGGCUCACAGAGUUUUAUACAAUUAGGAACUAGAGUAGCAGAGGUUCAGGAAAGAGCAGGAUGCUUUAAAAAUAGGUCUCCCAUCCUCAAGGUUCUGGAAACAUGAAAUGAUUUCAUGUCGAGCAUAUUGUCUUCACUUAGAAUGCAGUGGAUGUGUGGGAAAUAUGGUACAGGGAGCUGAACAAUAGAAGAUGCAAGAAAAAAAAAGUACUCUUUUCAGUCUUACAGGAAGUUUUUGUAGAAAAAACGGUGAGAUCUUUGGAAACUGGGACCACCCACUGUCACUUUAAGCUUAAACACUUUUUUUACCCCUUAUCUUCUGUAAAAUACAUUAUGUACGUGCUUUGCUG